rnacentral:rRNA from 1 species
UGGCUAAGUUAGUCCCCUGUUAAAUCCACCGAAUUAAUCGUUGGAUUGCGGGGGAAACUGCUUGGCUAGGGGACGAGAGAGGCAGACGGUAUUUCCGGGGUAGGGGUGAAAUCCUAUAAUCCCGGGAAGACCACCAGUGGCGAAGGCUGUCUGCUAGAACGCGCCCGACGGUGAGGGAUGAAAGCUGGGGGAGCGAACCGGAUUAGAUACCCGGGUAGUCCCAGCUGUAAACGAUGCAGGCUAGGUGUUUGGACGGCCACGUGCCGUUCUAGUGCCGCAGGGAAGCUGUUAAGCCUGCCGCCUGGGGAGUACGAUCGCAAGAUUGAAACUUAAAGGAAUUGGCGGGGGAGCACCACAAGGGGUGAAGCUUGCGGUUUAAUUGGAGUCAACGCCGGAAAUCUCACCGGGAGCGACAGCAGUGUGAAGGCCAGAUUAAAGGUCUUGCCAGACGAGCUGAGAGGAGGUGCAUGGCCGUCGCCAGUUCGUGCCGUGAGGUGUCCUGUUAAGUCAGGCAACGAUCGAGACCCGCGUCCUCUGUUGCAACUAGCCUUGUGCUGGGCACACUGAGGAGACCGCCACUGAUAAAGUGGAGGAAGGAGCGGGCCACGGCAGGUCCGCAUGCCC